rnacentral:lncRNA from 1 species
AGCCCAUUGGGCCUAAGCCCAUUCAGGUAACAGUGAUACUGGGCCAGAGCCCUUUUCAGAUUACAAUAAACUGGGCCUUAGCCCCUUAUUCAGAUAACAGUAUGGCCCAUAGGCCCAUUUCAAAAUACAUGCAACAUCAAUAACAUAUGCAAGCCCAUUUGGGGAGACUACUCAACCCACCAACCACUACACUCCACCCGUACCAGCCCUACACUCCAUGUGGGGAAUAGCUCAACCCACCCAGCCCAACACUCCCCAGUU